rnacentral:RNase_P_RNA from 1 species
GGCAGGCCAGACGGUCGCGUGCUUAGGCAUGAGGAAAGUCCGGGCUCCACAGGGCAAGGAUGCCGUGAUAACGUCCGGCGUGAGUAAUCAUAGGGAAAGUGCAACAGAAACACACCGCCGAAACGGGUAAUGCCGUGGCAAGGUUGAAAUGGUGAGGCAAGAGCUCACCGGCGCUGCGGAGACGCAGCGGCCGUGUAAACCCCAUCCGGAGCAAGGUCGGUGAACGCAAGGCGGCUGCCCGUCGCCGUUCAGUUGGUGGACCGCAUGAGCGAGCAGAGAUGUUUCGCCUAGAUAGAUGAUCGUCUAAUACAGAACCCGGCUUACAGACCUGUCC